rnacentral:rRNA from 1 species
UAGGGAAUAUUAGAAAUGGACGAAAGUCUGAUCUAGCAACACCGCGUGUGCGAAGAAGGCCUUUGGGUCGUAAAGCACUUUUUGGAAGGAAUAGGAAGGAAUGUACUUCCAGAAUAAGUCUCGGCUAACUACGUGCCAGCAGCCGCGGUAACACGUAGGAGGCAAACGUUGUCCGGAUUUACUGGGCGUAAAGCGCGUGUAGGUGGUCCUGUAAGUAGGGCGUGAAAGCUCCUGGCUCAACUGGGAGAGGCCGUUCUAAACUACAGAACUAGAGGGUGGUAGAGGGAGGUGGAAAUCCAGGUGUAGCGGUGGGAUGCGCAGAUAUCUGGAGGAACACCGGUGGCGAAAGCGGCCUCCU